rnacentral:rRNA from 1 species
AGGGUGUAAACGCUGCAGACUUGGUGUUGGAAGUCCUUUGGGGGCAUUCAGUGCCGGAGAGAAGUUGUUAAGUCUGCUACUUGGGGAGUACGUCCGCAAGGAUGAAACUUAAAGGAAUUGGCGGGGGAGCACCGCAACGGGAGGAGCGUGCGGUUUAAUUGGAUUCAGCACCGUAAAACUCACCAGGGAAGACUGUUACAUGAAAGCCGAGAUGAAGACUCUGCUAGAUUUUCAGAGAGGAGGUGCAUGGCGUCAGUGACU